rnacentral:lncRNA from 10 species
GGGCUGGCUCAGAGAACCUCUUGGUAGUGGGGGACAAGUGUCCUCAGGGAGGAAAAUCCUCUUAAGAAAUAACUUGAGUGCUCGUAUUAGAGAAUAAAUGAAAAACAAUCUAUGAACUAAGCAUCGGCUUUAUAAAAUUACAGUAGGCUGGUAUGAUGGCUCACGCCUGUAGUCCCAGCACUUUGGGAGGCCAAGCCAGGAGGAUCAUCUGAGGCCAGGAGUUUGAGACCAGCCUGGCCUAACCUAGCAAGACUCCAUCUCAAUUAAAUAAAUAAACAAACAAAUAAAUGUACAACAGAAUAAGUUCAAAUAGAAUGAAAGAAAUGACAAAUAUAAUAAUAAACAUAAGAAUAGAAAUGAAUGAAAAAAACAAAGAGCCAGGAGAGAAACAUUGCAAAAGUCAUUUAUUUGAAAAUACCACUGCAACUGACAAACCACUGUACUCAUCAAGACAAAAAAUGUUAGGAAUAAAAUUGGGGAUGACAUUGCAGCUGCUGCAGAGAUUAAAAAGAUAAAGGGAAUGUUAUAAGCAACUUUCUGCCAAUAAAUACUGAAGUCGAAAAAGUUCCAAAAUUCUGUAACUACCAAAAUUGAUUAAAGAAGAAACAGACAACUUGAAUAGCUUUGUAACUAUUACUGAAAUAUUUCCAUAAGGUCUAGACAGUUUCCAAGAGAGUUUUAUCAAUCAUUCAUGAAAUAGAGAGUUCUCAUACUUAGCAGACUCCUUCAGAAAAUAGAAAGAGCGAGCACUUCUUAACUCCUUUUAUGAGGCUAAUAUAACCUUGAUACCAAAACAAGACAAGAACAGUACAAGAAAGGAAAAUUAAAAGUCAGUCUUAUUGGCCACGCAUGGUGGCUUACGUCUCUAAUCUCAGCACUUUGGGAGGCUGAGGCAGGCAGAUCACUCGAGGUUGGGAGAUCGAGACCAGCCUGGCCAACAUGGUGCAACCCCAUCUCUACUAAAAAUAUAAAAAUUAGCCGGGAGUGGUGGCAGGCACCUGUAAUCCCGGCUACUUGGGAGGCUGAGGCAGGAGAAUCGCUUAAACCCAGCAGGCGGAGGUUGCGGUGAGCUGAGAUCAUGCCACUGGACUCCAGCCCAGGUGACAGAGCGAGACUCCAUCUCAAAAAAAAAAAAAAAAAAAAAA